GAGUUUUGAUCAUGGCUCAGAACGAACGCUGGCGGCGUGGAUAAGACAUGCAAGUCGAGCGCGAAUUCUGGUGUAGCAAUACAUCAGAGUUUGAGCGGCGCAAGGGUGCGUAACACGUGGGUAAUUUGCCGUGAAGUUGGGGAUAACUCGCUGAAAGGCGAGCUAAUACCGGAUGUGGUUAUUGGAUGGCAUCAUUUGGUAACUAAAGCUGGGGAUCGUAAGACCUGGCGCUUCAUGAUAAGCCCGCGGCCUAUCAGCUAGUUGGUGAGGUAACGGCUCACCAAGGCGAAGACGGGUAGCUGGUCUGAGAGGACGACCAGCCACACUGGAACUGAGACACGGUCCAGACACCUACGGGUGGCAGCAGUCGAGAAUUUUUCUCAAUGGGCGCAAGCCUGAAGGAGCGACGCCGCGUGGGGGAUGAAGGGUUUCGAUCCGUAAACCUCUUUUAUCAACUAGGAAGAUAUGACCAGUUGAUGAAUAAGCACCUGCUAACUACGUGCC
rnacentral:rRNA from 1 species